GACGAACGCUGGCGGCGUGCUUAACACAUGCAAGUCGAACGGAAAGGCCCUGCCUUUGUGGGGUGCUCGAGUGGCGAACGGGUGAGUAACACGUGAGUAACCUGCCCUUGACUUUGGGAUAACUUCAGGAAACUGGGGCUAAUACCGGAUAGGAGCUCCUGCUGCAUGGGGGGGGUUGGAAAGUUUCGGCGGUUGGGGAUGGACUCGCGGCUUGUCAGCUUGUUGGUGGGGUAGUGGCUUACCAAGGCUUUGACGGGUAGCCGGCCUGGGAGGGUGACCGGCCACAUUGGGACUGAGAUACGGCCCAGACUCCUACGGGAGGCAGCAGUGGGGUAUAUUGCACAAUGGGCGGAAGCCUGAUGCAGCAACGCCGCGUGCGGGAUGACGGCCUUCGGGUUGUAAACCGCUUUCGCCUGUGACGAAGCGUGAGUGACGGUAAUGGGUAAAGAAGCACCGGCUAACUACGUG
rnacentral:rRNA from 1 species